GAGUUUGAUCGUGGCUCAGAUUGAACGCUGGCGGCAUGCCUUACACAUGCAAGUCGAACGGCAGCAUGAUCUAGCUUGCUAGAUUGAUGGCGAGUGGCGAACGGGUGAGUAAUACAUCGGAACGUGCCCUGUAGUGGGGGAUAACUAGUCGAAAGAUUAGCUAAUACCGCAUACGACCUGAGGGUGAAAGUGGGGGACCGCAAGGCCUCAUGCUAUAGGAGCGGCCGAUGUCUGAUUAGCUAGUUGGUGGGGUAAAGGCCCACCAAGGCGACGAUCAGUAGCUGGUCUGAGAGGACGAUCAGCCACACUGGGACUGAGACACGGCCCAGACUCCUACGGGAGGCAGCAGUGGGGAAUUUUGGACAAUGGGCGAAAGCCUGAUCCAGCAAUGCCGCGUGUGUGAAGAAGGCCCUCGGGUUGUAAAGCACUUUGUCCGGAAAGAAAUGGCUCUGGUUAAUACCUGGGGUCGAUGACGGUACCGGAAGAAUAAGGACCGGCU
rnacentral:rRNA from 1 species